UACGUAGGGUCCGAGCGUUGUCCAGAAUUACUGGGCGUAAAGAGCUCGUAGGUGGUUUGUCGCGUUGUUCGUGAAAACUCACAGCUCAACUGUGGGCGUGCGGGCGAUACGGGCAGACUAGAGUACUGCAGGGGAGACUGGAAUUCCUGGUGUAGCGGUGGAAUGCGCAGAUAUCAGGAGGAACACCGGUGGCGAAGGCGGGUCUCUGGGCAGUAACUGACGCUGAGGAGCGAAAGCGUGGGGAGCGAACAGG
rnacentral:rRNA from 1 species